rnacentral:rRNA from 1 species
AUUGAACGCUAGCGGGAUGCUUUACACAUGCAAGUCGAACGAGUGGCGGACGGGUGAGUAAUAUAUCGGAAGUGCCCAGUAGCGGGGGAUAACUACUCGAAAGAGUGGCUAAUACCGCAUACUAUCGGAUAACCCAUCUGGGAUUAGCUAGUAGGUGGGGUAAUGGCUCACCUAGGCGACGAUCCCUAGCUGGUCUGAGAGGAUGAUCAGCCACACGGGGACGGAGACACGGCCCAGAUGGCUACGGGGGCAGCGGUGGGGAAUAUUGCAAAAUGGGCGAAAGCCUGAUGCAGCCAUGCGGCGUGUAUGAAGAAGGCCCUAGGGUUGUAAAGUACUUUCGGUCGGGAGGCGUUACCGACAGAAGAAGCACCGGCUAACUCCGUGCCAGCAGCCGCGGUAAUUC